CCAAAGGAGCAGUCUCCCUGAUGUUUCCAAUGUAAAUGCAGCCAUGUCUCAGUAUCUGGACAAGAGGUGCUAUCAAGAUGUUCUCCUUCAGUGGCAGAGAAGGGAGUUCUGAAUUGCUGGUGUGGUAGGUGCAAAGCUAUUAGGUAGUAGCCUACGAAUUCAGACCAGUCAUUGGAAUACCAUAUGGAACCUGGAUGGAGUGGUAAAGCUGGCACUGGAGACUUCUCCCAGUGAAACCCCUCGGAAGACUGUCAUGCUGGAAAACGUAUAGCUCUGGGAGAGGGUAAGGAGAACCAGCUUCUCACCACAGUCCAGCACCUUGGAGGAGUUUGCAAGAGUCUAUCACAUCCGGAGCUUGUACUCUCAGCCUGAGGCUUUUCUAUGAGAAUUUCUUCUAAGAGAAAUGUUGUUUGAGUGUUUUGCAGAGAAGAAAGUGAGAAAACUGGAGACAAACUCUCCCAGAAGAGAAAUCAGCCCUCACUGUUGCUAGCGGUGCUGAACUAUGGUCAUGCAGUGGAAGAGUCAGGGAUCUCCCAAUAACUCAGUUUCCGAUAAAAGAGACUAAUGUCCUACAGUCAGGACUGCCAACAUUACCACGGAAACCCCCAAAAAUAAAGACUUUCCCAGCCUUGUGAGAGCACACCUGCAAGAGCAAGAAUUGCCUGUCAUAAGCGACUCUCCUUCAUUAUUGGUGUCACCUAAGGACAUUUUUUGUGGACUGAAGCUUCCUGUUGUACACAGGAAAAAUUUUCACACAGAAGUAGUCCAGCAUUUAUGAGAAGAAACCUUCCCAGAAGUGCACAGGAGUGAUUUUCCCUGGAUGUUAGUGAUUCCUGUGAACUCCAGAUCACUUCAGUAAAACAGAGUCUUACAAGGAAGGACAUGCAACAUCUCACAGAUCACAGCCUUACAAAGGAUCCAAAACCAGUCAGCAACUGCAUUUUCCUGUGCGUGUUCAGAAUGCAAACGGGCCAAAGUACACCUGAACAGCAUGCCUACCAAUUCAAGAGACUUCCUAUAUUUAAUGUGAACCAGACCGAAUCAAUACAUACUGAAAAAAUUGACUAGGAAACGGCAUUUUUUUUACUCUGUACUUUAAAAACAUAACCCUGGAGGCCAAAAUUACUGUCUUGACUAUUUGGCAAUUGAUGACAACAGAAUUAGGAUUAGUGGGACACUGACUCCCAGUGUUUCCCAAGCACCUUCUGCAUGAACUGGAGGAACACCUUGUACACACUGAGUAUGAAACAGAAGGUCCCUCAGUUCAUCAAUGCCACAGUGCCCAACAGGCACUGCUCUUUUGAGAAACAUUCCUAGACUCAGCAGUUUGUCUGAAUUUCAACCAAAUGAAGCCUCGCAAUUGGUAAAAUCCAGACAAAGUCCAACCAGACCUGGCCUGGCUCUGCUGCUGUUGCUCUGCACACUAAUGCAGACCCUGUGAACUCAACUGACUGAAUGAGCUGAAGAGUGAAGCACCCCAAAGGUCCGGGGAAUAAAGUCAGUUUCAAACCACCCCAUUAUGAGUCCGCCCUGGCAUCUGCAUGGGCUCCCAGUGCCAACGGUACCAUUUGCGAAAAACCUCAAGGCUCCUUGCUGGUGACGGAGAACCUGAUGUCAAAUCUCUCCUCACUGGCUCACCUGAACGUUCAGAGCAGGGAGGUGAGCGACGCAGCAGCUACUGCAGAGACUCUCAAUCAUCUGAAGGCUGGUUAAACUAAUUCAGGGAUACAAGCGGCUCGCAGCAGCCUAGCAUACCACUGAACCACACCCUUCAAGUUAUUUCCAGCAAUCCUAACAGCCACUGCAGUCCAAGACCAUCUUGGGGUUUCCAUCUGAAGUCCAGAUCCUACACGCUGCAGAGCUGCCCUUCAGAAUCCUCUGACUUUAUAGCUGGAAGCAGGCCUCACGAAUGUAGGUCACGGUAACUUAAAAGCACUGGAGCUAAAGGAUGCCACCCCAGUACCCGUACCCCCCCUUGAGCAGCACUGCCCUGCAGCCUCCUCAGCACCAUCUCCGCACGUCCCACACGAAGUUCUGCACCACCUAGGAUCUAGGCAAAGGAAGGGUGGAGCCAGCUCCUCACCUCCUGUCUGCAGCCACACAAGAUAGUACAUCCUGAAAGCAUUAUGUUUGCCACAAUCCCUUUUUCCUCCUUCCCCUCAGUGCAACUGCGGAAAAGAAGGAAGGGUAGAUUGGAACAGUAUCUCGGCUUCCACGGAGGCACGCUACAAGCGAGGGAGACAGAAAGGACAGUUGAACAGACAACCGCAAACACUACAGAGGCACAGGGCCUCCCUGGAGAUGGCCUUGGCCUCCUAUGAAUCCCGCCGGAGUCCUACAGCUGUUCCUGCCAUCCACAUGGGAAAACGUGUGUGUGUGUGCACAUGUGAGAGAGCUGCUGAGGAAAUACCUGUGGAGGCAUCUAACUCAAAGGUAGAACAGCAUGUUUUGAUAAAUAAAUAUUUAUUUAUGAAAAAA